ACAACACAAUGGAGCUGGAGAGUGGUGGAGUGCCCAUGAGGCGAUUUACCUGGGGUUGCCCUUCUGCGGAUGGCCCUGGGUGUGUCCACCUGAGAUGUCUCAGAAGGUGUUGUGUGUUGGCCAGUAGAGUGAAACAACAAAGAGAUCCUUUGGUGGCAACUGAAGAACAGUAGCACUGUAGUCACCAGGGACCAGCAGGAUGCCGGCUUCUUGGACCUAACCCGCCUUCAUGGAUGGUCAGUCAGUGUCACUCAAACUAGGGCCUCUUGGUUUCCACCGCCAUCUUGUCUCCAGAAGGCAUCAGCAUCUCAGGAUCCAGUUCAAGAACUCAGAAGCUUCAUCUCUUCCCAGGACCAGCUGCUGAGCCCAAUACCCAGAGCUGGGCAGGAAGAGCCCAGGCCCUUGAAUAGCGAUGACAUCAAGUUAGCCCUCCUUCCCCCAGCCAAGCUCUGCUUUGGAGCCCGUGAGGCACCAGUGGUUUCCAACAUGGCACCAUGAGCCUUGAGUUCCUUUUGGGCGCACAUUUCCUGACCUCAGCGCCUUGAUUCCCUUUCCUUUUCCUUCAAGAAGAUAAGGCCAUCCGUCGCUGUUUGCAAAGCAGAUUUGAAAUGGAAAUCUCCCUUUACCUUUUCUACCAUGACCUGUUGGCUCCUCAUCUUCCACUGGUGUCAGAGGCUGGCAUCCUCCAAGCACACCCACUCAGCUGGGCCGCACCUUGAGCGGGUUUGCAUUACUGGGUUCAGCUCCACGUUACUAGGAGUCUCUUUGGAAAUGGUUGGCUGGUCGCCGCUGAGCUGCUUGAAUUUCCAUCAAUGACGUAACUGUGCAGAGAAUCCCAGCUGAUAGGGGGGAGGGAUUGGGCCCGUGAGCACCUGGGGCUUGAGCUUCCUGCCAACCCCUCAGAUGCUCUUCCACGUGGACAAACAGGUGUUCUUGUGGGCAGGAGCCUCAUAUCUCAGGUUAGUUUGUUUCUUUAAGGUUGUUCUUGUCAAGCCCAGAACAACUCAACAGCCACCCCCGACUUUUAAAAAAAAGCUCUUAAGACCAUCUUUACCAUCUUUACAUUCAGCAACACUGAGCAAAUAGUCCUCUGAAGCCACCGACUGCUUAAAGCUUCUGGAUCUCGGCUCAUGCGGUUCCAGGUGGUUCCCUCUGCCUAGAAUGCAUCCCUUCACAAAGAAAGCCUUCCCUUACCCUGCCCCUGUCAGCAGAGCUAAAUGCCCUUCCUCUCUGCUCCCUCUACACAGCUGAUCUUGCAUUUCUCCCAUACCUAGCACAAGCCCUUCAUUGGCCACAUUACAAGGUAAAACCUACCAUAAGCUAAUCACAGCUGGCGUAAAGCUGGACAAAAAAGGCAACAGUGAUUAAGAAGAGCACUUGCAAUGUGGUUUUACAGCCUCUAGCCUUAAUGAUGAACUUUCCUAAAGGUGUACAGCAGGCCUUUAAAAAGUAGCCUCUGUGGAAAACAGUAUGGUGUUUCCUCAGAAAGUUAAAAGUGGAACUUCCAUUUGACCCAGUAAUCCCACUUCUAGGAAUAUAUUCCAAGAAAACAGAAACACCA